GUCUUGCUGUGUCACCCAGGCUGGAGUGCAGUGGUGUGAUCUCAGCUCACUGCAAGCUCUCCCUUCUGGGUUCAGGCCAUUCUCCUGCCUCAGCCUCCCGAGUAGCUGGGACUACAGGUGCCCGCCACCACGCCCAGCUAAUUUUUUGUAUUUUUAGUAGAGACGGGGUUUCACCAUGUUAGCCAGGAUGGUCUUGAUCUCCUGACCUCGUGAUCCACCCACCUCAAGUCUUUAGGGUAUCCACCUAGGAAUGGAAUCGCUGAGUCUGUGUUUAACUUUUUGAGGAACUGCCAAACUCUUUUCCACAGAGGCUGAACUGUUUUACACUCCCACCAACAGUGCUGUGGGCUCCAAUUCCUGUAUGUCCUUGUCCACGCUUAUGAUUUUCCAAUUUUUGAUUAUAACCAUCUUAGUGGGUAUGAAGGGGUCACGGUUUUGAUUUGCAUUUUCCUAAUUGUUCAUGAUGCCGUGCAUCUUUUCAAUGUGCUUCUUGGCCAUUUAUAUAUUGAGUAGACAUUUGAAAUGUUUACUCAAUUUCUUUUCCAUUUUAAAUUAGGUUGUUUGUCUUUUUGUUAUUUAUUUACUUUUGAGACAAGGUCUCACUCUUUCACCCAGGCUGGAGUGCAGUGACACAAUCAUGGCUCACUGCAGCCUCAACCUCCCAGGUUCCAGUGAUCCUCCCACCUCAACCUCCUGAAUAGCUAGGACUGUAGGGAUGCGCCACCACACUCAGCUAAUUUCUCUAAUUUUUUUUAGAGAUGGGGUCUCACUAUGUUGCCAGGAAUGGUCUCAAACUCCUGGGCUUAAGCGAUCCUCCUGCCUGGGCCUCCCAAACUAUUGGGAUUAUAGUUGUGCACCACCGUGCCUGACCCGUCUUUUUGUUGUUUACUUGUAAACAUUCCUCAUAUAUUCUGAAUAGUAGACCCUUAUCAGAUAUAUAAUUUGCAAAUAUAUUUUCCUAUUAUGAAGAUUGUCUUUUUACUUUUUUAAUAAUGUACGUUAGUGCACAAAGGUUUUUAAUGUUGAUGAAGUACAAUUUAUCUAUUUUUCAUAUGUUGCUCAUGCCUUUAGUGUCAUAUCUAAGAAUCCAUUGCCAGAUCCAAGGUCAUGAAUAUUUACUCCUAUGUUUUCCUCUGUCUAUUUCUUCCUUUUCUUAUUUCACCCCUCCUACGCACACACCUCUUUUUCUUUUUCUUGCCUCUUUGUACUCUCCAGAAUUUUAAGUACAAUGUUAAAUAGGAGUGGCGAAUAUGGGCAUUCUUCCCUUGUUCUUGAUCUGAAGAAAAAAACAUUUAGUCUUUCAUCGUUAAAUAUGAUGUUAACUACAGGGUUAAAAAUAAAACCAGAUACCUUUAUCCCUGUAAGUAUCAUGAGUGGGUAUCAAAUGUUGUUGAAUGCCUUUUCUGCAUCAACGGCAAUCCCAUGUGCGAUCCCCUAUGAUAUGAUUAUAUGGCCAUUCUUCUUCAGCUUGUUGAAACAGUGGAUAAUAGUGAUUGAUAAUCAAAGAUCAGACCAGUUUUAUAUUUCUGGGAUAAAGCCCACUUGGUCAUGAUAUGUUAUUCUUUUUAUAUAUUGAGCAUUUGAUUUGCUAGUACUUACUAGAGUUUCUUGUGUCUGUGUUAGCGAGGAAAAUUGCUUUUAACUUUAUUUUCUUAUAUUACCUUUGGCUUUUCUAUCAAAUAAUGCCAUUUGCAAAAAAAAAAAAUGGGCUAGGAAAUGUUCCCAUCUCUUCCGUUUUCUGGAAGACAUUAUGUAGAGUUGUUUUUUUUUUUUUUUUAGAUAUUUAAUAGAAUUUGUCAAUAAAACCGUUUGGUCCUGCAAAUUUCCUUUCUUGGUCGGUUUUGAACUAUAAAUUUAAGUUACAAAUAGUUAUAGGACUAUUCAGGAUAUCUGUUUCAUCUUGGAUGAGUUAGGUAACUUUUUCUUUCAAGGAUUAGUUCACACUAAGUUGUCAAAUUUGUGUGUGUAGAGUUUUUCCUAGUAUUCUAUUAUCUCCAUGUCUGUGAAGCCUGUAGCAGCAUUUAUUAUUUCUUUCCUGAUAUUGAACAUUUUCAUCUUCCAUCUUUUUCUUUGUCAAAUUCAUUAGAAGUUUGUCAAUAUUAUUGAUCUUUUCAGAGAACAAGCUUUUGGAUUUAUUGAUUUUUUUCUAUUUUUUCUGCCUUCAAUUUCAUCAAUUUUUUUCUCUUAUCUUUAUUAUUUCCUUUCAUGUUCUUAUUUUGUGUUUAUUUUGCUCUUCUUUUUCUAGUUGCUUAAGAUGUAAGCAUACAUGAUUAAUUUGAGACUUUGUUUCUUUUUAAGCGUAAGCAUUUGAUGCUAUAUAUUUCCCUCUAAGCACUGAUUUACCUGCAUCCCAUGAAUUGUGUUAUGUUGUAUUUUCAUUUACAUUCAAUUCAAAAUAAGUUUUAAUUUAUUUGAUACUUCCUAUGAUCCAUGGCUUAUUUGGAAGUAUGUUGCUUAGUUUCCAAAUGUUUGUAGAUUUUUCUGUUAUAUUUCUGUUUUUGAUAUCUGGUUUAAUUUCAUUAUGAUCACAGCACAUACUACAUAUGCUUUCAAUAAUUGUGCAUUUGUUAAAGUUUCUUUUAUUCUUUCUUGGUGAGUGUUCCAUGUACAAUUGAAAAGAAUAUGUAUUCUAUUAGUGUUGGAUAGAUUGUUCUAUAAAUGUAGUUUAUGAUCCACUUGGUUGAUGGUAUUGUUCAGUUCUUUUAUAUCCCUGUGAUUUUCUGUCUAUAGUUCUGUCAUUUAUCGAGAGAUGAAUGUUGAAGUUUCCAGUGUUUUUUAUGGAUUUCUAAAUUUCUUCUUUCAGUUGGAACAGUUUGCUUUUUCUCUUUUUAAGUUCCAUUAUUAGGGGUGCACACCGUUAGCAUUGUUCUGACUUCUUGGUGAGUCAACUCUUUUACCAUUAUACUACCUGCCUUUUUAUGUCUGGGAAUUAGUUUUUGCUCCAAAUCUACUUUGUCUGAUAUUAAUAUAGCCACUCCAUCUUUCUUUUGAUUGGCAUUUGCUUGAUAAGUCUUCUCUAUUUUGUUAUUUGUAUCCUAUCCAUAUUCUUAUAUUUGAAGCAAGGUUCUUUCUGACAGCAUAUAGUUGGGUCAUAUUUUUCAAAUCUGUUCUGGCAUCUUUGUAUUUUAAUUAGUGUGUUUAGACUGGGCUUGUGUUUAAAGCAAUUAUUGGUAUGUUUGGAUUUAAGUCUAGCUUUUUAUUAUUGAUUUUCUAUAUACUACUGUUGAUUUUCUCUUUUUCUGCCUUUUUUUGGUAUUUACACAUUUUCUAGUUUGCUAUUUUAGCUUACUUGUGUUGUUUCCUACACUGAUAUAUUUUUAAAACCCAAGAGAAGAAAAGUGUUUCAUAUUUACCCAGCUAUUUCCAAUUUAUAUUUUACUUUCUUUAUUCUUGAUAUUUCAAAGUAUCUUUUAAUAUCAUAUUUCUUAUGUUUAAAAAACUUCCCUUAACAAUUCUUUUAGACAAAUAUAUAUUCUUUUAGUUUUUCUUCACUUGAAAAAUGUCUUUAUUUCACCUGUUCUGGGUAUUUUUUUCUUCAUUUGAAAAAUGUCUUUAUCUCACCUGUACUGGGUAUUUUUUUCCACUGGACAUAGAAUUCUAAUAGUUCUUCGCCUUCAACAAUUUAAAUCUAUUGUUUACUUUCUUUCCUUCUGGCCUCUAUUUAGUUUCUGAUAAUAAACUCUGAGUCAUUCAAAUCAGUGUUCCCCUCUAAAUAAUGUGCUGUCUCUGGCUACUUUUAGGAUUUCUCAUUCUCUCUAAUUUUCCGACAUCUAAUUAUGACAUGUCUGUGUGUGGAUUGGGUUCUUUAGCUUUGUGAGUCUGUAGAUGUAUGCCUUUCUCUUAUGGCAAAAUGUUGGUGUUUGGGGGUCUUUGCAGGCCAAUGAUUGGGUCAGGUUCCAGGCUGCAAGCUUCAAUUCACCUUCUAUAGGUAGAUCUGUUUUUGCGGUACUAUUCAGAUCUGUCCUGCAUGCGUGCCCACCAACGGCCUGUCUGGGUGUGGGCAGUGUGGGCAGUUUUCAGUUUGGUAGCUGUUUAGAGUCUGAUCCAUGCACGCGCACAUCAAAGAUGAGUCCAGGAGUCCAUGAACAAUUUUACUGGAUCUCCUUCCCUCAUUCCACCGUCCCACUGAACUCCCCAUUACUUUUCAGAUCCUAACAUUCCUCUUGUUGACUCCUUGUUUCUAAAAUUGUGUCUUUACUUACUCUGCACAUAAUUUCUGUGGCUGCAGCCAUAUCUGGGCUAAACAGCAGGAGAACUGGAGAAAAAAUAUGGUAAAAUUGUCCUGCUUUGGUGGCACAUCUAAAUCUGGUUUUCUUCCCCAGUCUGUCUGCUACUGUUCACUGACAGAGUCCUCUAAUAGCUGCUCCAUGCACUCAGCAGGAGAGACAGGCUGGAGUGGCCUGCUAAACUUUACCUGGGACUGGCACCAGCCACAAUACAGAGUACUUGUUUUGAUGGUUUUAAGUAUGAUGGUGAUAAAUGGAAGAGAAUGAAACGGUUCGACUUUGGUCAUUUAAAAAAUCUUUUCACUCUCUUUUCUAAAGCUUGAACACACCAUAGUCUACCAAUUUAGUUAACCAUCAUUCAUGGGCUUUUCGAUUUUAAUGGCUGUAUGCUGGCUCUUUCCAUGCACUUUUUCACUCUAGCUUACUGGACUUUAAAUUACAUGCAUUACCUUGUACUCAUCUGGGGUACCAUCGCUUUUACACAAGAAUUCUUAAAGCCUAAGACUCAGUGCACCCAUCCUGUAUCUGAACCCAAGAGUCAUUUUGUCGUCCUCAUGAAACUAGACAAAUCUGAGUUCAGAUGCUGACUCUGCCACUUACAAACUUGUGACCUUGGGUAAGAUAUAAAACCUCUCAGAGAUCUGCACAAAUUAGGUCAUUUUUACUUGUAAUUCUUCCAAAUCAGAAUCAUAGACUGAGAAGGAUUUACAAAAAAAGACAAAACCUGUUUGGCUGUAUCACUCAUCAUCCUUUUACUCAUUCUCUGAUUCCUUCCAUCUGUUCCUUCCAUCCACUCAUCCAUCCAUCAUCCAUCCAUCCAUCCAUCCAUCCAUCCAUCCAUCAUCCAUCCAUCAUCCAUCCAUCCACCAUCCAUCCAUACAUACAUACAUUCAUCUGUUCAUCCAUCCAUCUAUUCAUCCAUCUGUUCAUCCAUCCAUCCAUCCAUCCACUGAUCCAUCUCUUCAUCAUUCAUAUUCUGCGUGCUUAUUAUUUCCCAAGUACUAGGUUAGGUACAGGAUAAAUGGAAAUCAAUAAUGUCGUCCUUAAGAAGUGUUGUGCAAAAAAAAAUAAUAAUAAUUGUGGAAGAAACCUGUAAUUUGUCAGGUUAAGGAAUUAAAAAAGUAGUUAUGCAAUAGAUAGGGUGAGGUUGAGGGUUGGAUUACAAAUGGAAUAAAGGUUGCCCACAUCUGAGUGUUGCCUGGAAGAUUAAAUGAGAAAUAUGCAAGACGAAGUGCACAUGGCAUCUCUUCCUUCAUCCAGGCCCCGAGUGAGGUCCAGGGAUGCAAUGUCAUGGCAUAGCCCCUGCCUCAGGAGACUUUAUACCAAUGUGGAUUGUUUUCCUCUCUCUUUCUGCAUUCUCCUUUACACGUGUGUCUAAAUCAUUCUGAGGAUAAUUUUGUGGUCAACUUCAUUUCUACCUGAAUGACAAAUUCCCUAUAUUUAAAUCCCAUGAUGCAAAAAUAGCAUUUAGUUUUAUUGGACCUAAGAUGAUCUCUCUGCAAUAUUAAAAGGUGUCCCCUAGAGUAAUUUUUAAGUAUCUGAGGUUUUGUUAAGAUCAUUCUUUUCAUAAUUCAUAUCUUCUUUAACCUUUGUUAUUCCAGAUUUAAGAGAGUUUUCAAGUCGUGUUCUAAGAAGCUUCUGAUCCUUAUCCUUCUGAUCAUUUGAGUUAUACCUGUCUGACUCUACUAUGUCUCCCUGCUGCUUUGAUAAAAGACAAUUUCACAUACUGUGGAGGUCAUCAGUCAAUCUAAUGUUUAUUAAUCAUCCCCUCAUUUCACAUGGCUUUCUCUGGACCCCUUGGGAGGAGACAAGGUAAUAAAUCCUAUCCUCCAUCCCAGGUUCAUGAUCAUUUGGAUAGACAAGGUAUAUAUAGAGAAAAUAUUUAAUAAUUAGAGUCCUGAAGGAGGGACUUUGCAGUGAACUUCAACAUGUCAAGCCUCCUUCUUCUCCCACUUCCAAACCACAGUGAAUCACGCGGGAGAAGUGAAAAUAUCUUUUAAAGACAUAAAGAGAAAAAUAUUUCACAAGCCUGUUCGAUAACUUUCUGAAAACACUCAUUGUUCAGGGUGCUGCUUAAAUGAUCUUUCUGCUUCUGCCGGUGGCAAGGCCCCUCCAGCUCUGAAAGCAUGCAGAGGACAGCCCAUUGUUCCCUUAACGCCUGAGCAUCAAUCACCUGGUCACCCAACACUCAGCCAGCUCUGCGCAGAAUGUUUCUAAGUGAUUUCGACUGCAAGACUUUUCGCCAUUGGGUCCACGUGGGAACCUCUCCCUCUGGCUCUCCUUACACCUCCACAUGGGUGGACACAUGGCCCCGGCCUCUGGAGGGAUGGAGAGGGAGGGUGCUUCUGGAGAGAGGAGAUCUGAUGGGGCUGGGGUCUCUCCAGCCCUGCACGUGGCACCCUGUGAACUCACAGCCUUUCAUGCCAGCUCCUUCCCUGGUCCUCAGCCCUCUCCUCAGUGCGGUUUACGGCAAUGGUCACCUGAACGUUUGUUUUGACAGUCACAAAUUCCCAGAAACAGGGAAACGGAACUCGCUAGCGACGUUGUGUGGAUGAGUUUGCUUUAGGCUGGAACAAGCCUUGCCUUUGGGUAACGGGCUUCCGGGUGCGCCCUGGCCGGCUGUGUGCGCGCGGAAGGCGGUCACCUGGGCCCCCUGGGCGCGCGCCCGCCCGCCCGCCUGCCCCGCGCGCACCUGCAGGAGGCUCUGGCGCGCUCCCUCCCUCCCUCCCUCCCUCCCUGGCUGCGCUGCGAAGGGCGCGGGAGAGGGGGAUUCUAGCAGCGCUGAAUCACUUUCCCACAGCCUCUGCGUGGGGAGCGCUUCCUCUGAUGCACGCCCUAUUUGUACUUCCUGAGUGCGCGUGGACUGCGGGCCCUGCUCGCCGCAGACUUGCCCGAAAUAGCAGCGCGCGGGCUCGGCUCCCCGCGCCGCCCGCAGCAUCUGCCUCCCCCUCCCGCCUCGUGGGCAACCGGGCGCGGCUGAGUCACGGUGACACUGAGUCACUCGCCAGCGUCAGGAAAUGCCUUUUUUAGACUUCCAGUUUGAAAUGGAGCAGCAGGUGACUUUUUAAAUUCGGUUUUGUGUUUUAUCUUCAAUUUCCCUGGGGGCAGUUCUUGCUGGUUUCACAUUUCCCCACGACUUGCUGCUUGGGGCAAGUUCCGCACCAAAUGCACCUAGGCGGAGCUCCGCCUUAAGGGAUAUUCAUUUUUCCGAUGUAACUGAGGAAAUUCUGCAGACUGGUUUUGAAGCAGUCUUCGCUAGACACUCCAUGCAACAGUGUGUAUUUGUACGUGGGUGGACGGCUUGCUAUCUGUGACGCGUUCCCAGGACAGACUGCAGGUGGCACCAGGGUCCCCUGAUUGUGAAGUUCCACCUCCGCAGAAUGGCUUAGGUGCAAUUUAUAGCAGCAUUGCCCUUUUUAAUUCAGUGUUUAACAAGGUUAACCUGAAGCAGGUUACUAGGUGCUAAUUAGGAUCUGUGGCCAGGUCAAUGCAUUUUUUUUUUAAACGGGUAACUAACUGUGUUGGAAAGAAAGUGGAUGGAGAAUUAUUCCAAAUAUACUAAAUGAAGCCUUUCACCAGAGUUUGCAAAUAUGAAUUAUAACAGUAAAAAUACAAUGAGAACCCACAUUUUUAAGGAAUUACAAAUGAGCAUCCGUGGCACUGCAUGCGUCCUUACUGUCGUUGGGCGGUUUCUUCCUAAAGAAAGAAGCCCUCUUGGUACUUACAGAAAUUCAACCUCUAGCGCCCUGUGCCUUCCACCCUGUCACUGUUAACAGCUACUGCCACACAUGUAUGUAGUAUAGGAAGGAUUGGCAGCCUCGCCUUGUUGCAUGGAGGGUGAGUGCUGCUGGAACACGUUAAGGACCUGAAGUUGCGAAUGUGGUGAGGGGAAUUGCCCUCAGAAGCAAUACGGCAGGGGAGUCCUGUGAGGGUGGUUUUCUUAGCUUUGCUGGGGUAACAGGACACAUUGGCGGAGACUUUCCCCAUUGUCCAAAUUCCUAAUUAGAGCCCCAGCUAAAGCAAAAGAGGCCACAGCGCCGCAUAUUCUGAAGAGAGCUGCCAGCAGUUGGGGGCAGGGUUCCUGUCCUGCUGAAAGAGCCCGGCUCUGUCAGCCAACCCAGCUCUCUCCAGGCUGCACCCCUCUGGAAGAAGAGAGGAGGAGAGAGUGGGGGAGGAGGCAGGAGACUCCAGUCUGCAGGGGUCCUGUGCUUUCCCCUCUGGGAGGGGACAUCUUCCUUGCCAAGUUCCCUGUCCCCACACCGCACAGCCACAGGAACAUCUCAGACUUUGCGGGUGUCUCUAGCCCUGGCUGGAUUCUGCUCGCACCCCCCACACCCAUCUGAGGGGGCAGUUCAGAGCUGGCGGAGCAAGGCACACCCACAGCUUUGUGGGGGCCCGGGGCUGUGAGCUUUGUCUGGGGCCUGUGGGAGAGAGCUUGGCUUGAGCUCUCCUGGCUCUCUCCACAAAGAGUCUUCUCUGGGGAAAGCUAUGAGCCACCUUGGGCACACACCAUCAGGAGCUCCUGAGGCUGUGUCACAGGCGUGCAUCCUUAACUCUGGCAAGGUAAAAUUCCUAAAUUGACUGAUACCUUUCUCAGAUAUUCAGGGUUCACAGGGGGGCAGGGUCUGAAGCGAGAAUGGAGAGAGAACUUUGAGGGCUCUCCAGGGUGGAGGGCCUGGGGAAAACUCAUCUGCAGACCCCCCCACCCUCACCCCGAGAAUGCCUGGGGACCACAGAAGGCUCAGGGCAGUGUGGGGAGGGCCUUUACUUCCACAGUUCAGCUGUAAAAGGCUGGUCCCUUCUCCCUUGCCCUGCCUGGUCCCCAGCCGGGAGGAGUAGGAUGGGAGUAGGAGGAAGGAGAAAGAUGCAAAGAAAGGCUGUGCCUGCUUCAUGUCCCUCCAGCCCAGAGUUCUUGUUUGUUUGUUCUGUAUGUUGUGGCAAUUCAACAGAGCCUAUGGAAAUCUUUUUAGAAAAAAAUGUUUAUUUUAAAAAGGUAUGUGCUAAAAUACGUAGUAUUAUAAAGAAAACUAUAUUAAAAUGCACUUAUCAAAAUAUUAAAAAAAUUAUCAACAUAGUAAUAUACAUAUUUCUUUAUUGAUACAUUAAAUAAUACUGUCUAGAAGACACAUUUUAGAAUACUGCUGAGUAUAAAUAAUAUUUCAUAAUACCGGAAAUGAUUGUAAUAUGAUACCUAUUUUUUCUAUUGGUGAUAAUGCCUCAGAUACUGUUAAUACUAUAGUGGUUUGUGGCCUUUAGUCAUAAUUGAAAGAAAUGCUACAUUUCAGAAGGUUGGUGAGAGUAAACAUAUACUUUAUCCCCCAUCCAAGUUCAUGGAUGCUGGACUCCAUGGAGCUGACUCGGAGGGUCACUGCAACAAGAAUGGGCAGGGCCUGAGGGUAGCACAAGAGGAUAGCUUUUAUCUAGACAGGACUGGACUGUCCCUAGUCCCUAAAAGGAAUCCAAAAGCUCAGGGAUCUGUUCAAGUUAGUGUUAAGGGAUAGGAACCACCACUUUGCACAGUGCAGUUGGCACUGAGUGCAGGAAAGUGAGCACUUUCGUCCCCCUCAGAUGUCUGUUUCAGUGUUAAUUUAACAGAAACUCAUGGGCUUUGAAACUGGACUGCCUGUGUUUGAAUUAUAAAUGAAUUUGGACAAUUAUUUACUUACUCUGAACUCAGUUUCAUCACUUGUAGAACUUUGUAGGUUGUGGAUAAAUUAGAUGACCUGUGUAAUGCGCUUAGAACGGAAUGUGGCAAGGGUUUGAAUGUGGGCCCCUGGGCAGUGUGACUCCCCCACAGGGUCCUUCCCCCAUGUCCUUUCUCAACUCCACGAGGGUCUGUGGGUUAAAGAAGAAUCAAAAUGAGCCCUGUGGUUUCCCAGCAGAUGUGAUUGUUCAUUUCUCAUCAUGUUGCCGUUGCUAGCAACCUGGUUAUAAAUAGAAAGAAACUCAUGUCCUCGUUGCUAUGUGAUCCCCAUGGCUCAUAUGACACAAUGUCCCAGGGAAGCCAACCUUCGUCGCUACAAAAUAGCUUCCUAAAUAGGCCAGCAGGCAUUAUUAGCAUCCUAAUAGGUUCUGUUGAUGAAGUCAUCCUUAUCAGGUAGUAUUCCAGGGGCUUUGGGUGGCAUAAUUCAAACACAGUAAGCCCAGCAAUGGUCCAUUUUAAUUAUCGCUACCCUGAGCCCUGACUUAGAAAUGUUGACUCCUCUGAAUGUCCAGCUUUGUAACUUAAUAUUUGUGAGACAAGGACAAUAACACCUUCACGGCCUUUUAAUUUUCCCAAUUGUUUUGUAUGAAUUACAUUAAGGAAAGUCUGAAGAUACUAAGAUUUCCAACUUGCUGCUCUGUGUUUAAGGUAUUUAUGCAGGAACAAGGUAAAUGCAAAAACCAAACACAGGCCACUUAUUAAUACUUUGUGUUUUAUUUUGUUUUACUUCAGUUAUUUAAUGAUAGAUUUCCUUGUUCCACUUUUGUAUUCUAUUUCCCUCCGUCCUUUCCAAAUGGGAUAGUUCUGUUUAAUUGAACACAAUUAUAUGAAAAACACUUAUUACUUUUAAAAAAUUAAAAAUCAUCGCUUCUUAGGCUUUUGGCUAAGAUCGAGUGUAAUAUCUGUUCUUAUCAGUUUAAAAAAUUAACAAGAAAGUAUAAGAGUUAUACUUUUAUUAUAAAAGUAUAAGAACAUUUUAAGAAUUAUAAAUAAAAAAUUAGGCAAUUCAAGUAACCGGUUUUUCAAUCAUAUUGAAACUUAUUUUCAAAGUAAGACCCAUUCUAAUAGAUCUCCCAAAUGAAAAUUACAGCUUGUGACACAUCCCCCCGUGUCCCUGCGCCCUGGCCAUCCAGGGAACCUGAAGGGCCCUGUUCUGCUCCUGGGGCUUCACGCACCCUUCCUGACUUUGUGUUAAGCAUCUGACCUUUGUGUUCGACUUGAUCACGAAGUCAGACAUGAGAAUAAGCCUCUGUAUCAAUUAGCCUUGGUUGAACAACAAGCCAACCCAAACAUGACUUAAACCAUUUUAUCUGCUGACUGUUGUGUAGAUGUGCACAGGUAAUUUGAACUGGGCCCCCCAGGAUGGCUCUCUAUGGUGCUGGCUCAUUCAAGCACCUAUCAGUGGAUGGUCAAUUGCUUCACUUAUAUCUGGCAUUGGCUGGGGGGCCGGAGGCAUAUCCUGCUCAUCGCCCUGCAGCACAGCCUCUUCCUGUGGUGCCACACAGUCAGAGUUCCCAAGAGCAGCAAGAGAGAGGCCUCAGUGCAAAAGCACUUAGCCUCUGCUGAUGUCACAUGUGCUGAUGCUUCCUUGGCCAAAGGAAAGCACAUGGCCAAGCCCAGAUUCAGGGCUUGGUGCCAUGAACUCUACCUCUUGAGGUGGGGACAGGGGCUGCAAAGUCACAUUGCAAAGGGAUGCGAAUAUAGGCGCAGAAAUAAUAUACUGUUUUUCUUUUUAUUUGCCGUAAUAUACUUAUGUGAUAUCCUUAUCUGCCAUAAUAUCCUUAACAUAAUGUUAAAGAUUGAUCAUAUAUUCCUAAGAGAGAAAUAGGAUCGUAUAAUUCUAACCUUUCACAAUAUUAUUGACAUUUUACUUGACUUUCUAGACAUAAAAUGAAAUUCUAAUUCCCAAGAGCUUUCCCCCCAGUAUUUAACAUUCUUUUCUGGGCUAGAUUUUUCGCCAGUCUCCCCUCUCCUUUACUACCAGGUUAUUGAAGCUGUUCUUUUAAAACUACGAGGAAGAAGAAACAGAGCGCUCUCGGGAAAUGUUGAAAAAGCAGAGCCCCAUUCAUCACAGCACAGGUUGAAGAGACCAGCUCUCCCCGAUAUUGGCAGAAUUUCCAUCACAGGAAUAAGCUUUUGAAAAGCAAACUGACAGAUGAGAGCAGUGAAAUCCACUGAGUGGGCCGUGGAGAACAGCUGUGUUUGAGAGGCAUCUCAGCGAUGUGAAUGAGGCCGGGAGGAGCCAUGAAGACGGCACUGCCUGUGGGGCCCCCGAUAAAUGAUGGCACUGAGCAAUUGGCAGGACUGUGGGCGUGGGAGGGGUCCCUAGGCCCCACCCCCCUCUGCUCCUGUUUGUGUAAUUAACAGCCUGCUUCCUAUCAGGGGCUCUGCCUUCAGUGCUCUCUGCUGCGGCUCUUACCAGCGAGGCCUGGAGGGGCGGCUCCUUCACCUGCCCUGUCCUGGUUUUUGCUCCCGCCUGCCCCGUGAGCCAGGGGAUGCAUUCACAGCUGCUCUUUUUGAUGUAUAAAGUGUGUUUGAACAUUAUGCCAAAUAUCAAAAUGUGAAGGACUAAUCCAGGAUGCAAAAACAUUAUGGGGGGUUGUAAAUACGAACUAUACAACAGUUUAGGAUGCAAUUAUGAGUGUAAACUGUGUGCCUUAUUUAUACUUCGUUGUCUCCAGCUUCUCAGAUAAAGUUUUGAUGUGUUGUACAGUGGAAUAUCUUAGAUACUUUUUGGAAAGUUUUUACAUAAGUUAUAUCACAAUUAAAAUGUUGAAUUUCAAAAAAAAAAAAAAAAAGAGGCAUUCGUUUGAGAUUGCCUGGGGUCCUGUGGUUUGCUGAAUAAGACUCAGUGUGGGGAACUGUAGACUCUUCCUGAGAAGCUCAAUUCCAAAAGGAAAAGGGAAAUGCCGACUGGGAUUCCCUGACAGGCAUUGGUUAGCUUAGCUGCUGUCUCUGUCCACUGAUAACUGGAGCUUUUAGAAAGGCAUCCUCUGCAGCUCAGCAUCAGCUUCUCCGCCUGCUGUCCCCUCCGGGAGGCGGCCCGCACCUCAGAAGCAGACACUGUUGUGCCUGGGUCCGGUGGCGUCUGGCCAACAGGGGCUGGAUGGGGGGCAACAGCAGCAGGAGGAGGACAGAGGAGGUGUUUACUCAGGGUCUCCUGUUAGGGUGCUGUAGGGUGUUGGGUUUCUCUGCUGGAAGCUGCAGCUCUGGUCACCACCUUCUCAAACUAUAGGGCUGCCCACCGGGCAUGGUGGCUCACGCCUGCAAUCCCAGCACUUUGGGAGGCCGAGGUGGGUGGAUCACCUGAGGUCGGGAGUUCGAGACCAGCCUGACCAACCUGGAGAAACCCCAUCUCUACUAAAAAUACAAAAUUAGCCGUGUAUGGUGACACAUGCCUGUAAUCCCAGCUACUCGGGAGGCUGAAGCAGGAGAGUCGCUUGAACCCGGGAGGUGGAGCCUCCUCCCAUCUGCCCCCUCCCUUGGGCUUUCUGGAGAGAUGGACAAAGUACAGUAUUAAGGCUACCGCUUCUCUCUGUGCAAACAGCCCUCUUCCCAUUUUAGGAAGGGAGCUCUUUAUGCUGGAGAGACCCCCACGAACCAAGGAGCAGCUCAAAGCAAGCUUCCAUGUCCUUCCAGGGGUCUGUGGAUCUUCUGCUACUGCUUUAGCAUCUCUGCUCUCCUCCCCUUCCCAGGCUCUGAUAGAACCCUGAGGGCCUCACUUCCCUUGCUCCUGGACUUGCAACUAGGAAUACAUUUAAAAAGUCUCCUCCAGAGGAGCACAACUGCAGCUAAGCCGUUUGUUGUUGCUGUGAGCCAAGAUCACGCCAUUGCACUCCAGCCUGGGCAACAAGACUGAAACUCCAUCUCAAACAAAACAAAACAAAACAAAACAAAACACUAUGGGGCUGCCCUCCAGGGCUAUGGAUAAGACUUCUUCCCCCUCUCUGCAGCCCUGAGGCUGCGGACCACUGGUCUAGUGGACUAGACAUUACUGCUUUUCCUAAACCCUGCCCCUAUCUUGGUAAAAUGUCCCUUCAUCCUAAGGUCCUUAAUGUCAGCUGUUCGCUGCAGCAUCCUGACUAAUGCACAGCUGAGAGGCAGUCAGAAGCCAGCAACAAUGAGGGUGAUUUUAAAAGACCAUGACGAAUGUGUACACAGAAUACUCAGUGGCCCCAAUCCCAUACAGGUGCUGAAGGUGGGCUACGAACUGCACACUAAGGUUCUGUAGGGAAAUGAAUUAGGAUUGGUGGUAGAUUUUCCACUGAAUCUUCUUGUAAUACAGUUCUCUAAGUGCUUCCCUGUACCCACAGUUCUAAAUGAUCUUCAGUGGAGAGUAUUUGUCUGUGUGUGUGCGUGGGUGCCUUAAUACUUCUGGAAGCAUCC